rnacentral:tRNA from 1 species
GGGUAUAGCUCAGUGGUAGAGUGAUUACUUAGUAUGCAUGAUGUCCUGGGUUCAAUCCCCAGUAAAUCCA